rnacentral:rRNA from 1 species
UACGUAGUGUGCGAGCGUUGUCCGGAAUUACUGGGCGUAAAGAGCUCGUAGGUGGUUUGUCGCGUUGUCCGUGAAAACUCACAACUCAAUUGUGGGCGUGCGGGCGAUACGGGCAGACUGGAGUACUGCAGGGGAGACUGGAAUUCCUGGUGUAGCGGUGGAAUGCGCAGAUAUCAGGAGGAACACCGGUGGCGAAGGCGGGUCUCUGGGCAGUAACUGACGCUGAGGAGCGAAAGCGUGGGGAGCGAACAGG